CUUAACACAGGUUUAGAGAAACAUCUGUUUCUCUUGCUCCUGACAAAAUUAGACUGGCCUCCAGUUUAGACCCUCAUCUCCUAGACAGCAAGGUUUGUGAGUAUAUCCUUUAUACCCCAGGCAGAGUGGAGGCCUCAGUCAGCAAGCCUCCUGUGGCUGACCACCAAUGUCAAAUCCAUUUGGCUCACCAUCCUCCUUGUAGCCAAGACUAGAGAAUCAACUAAAAGCAUUGUUUUGGGACAAAUAAAAAUGAAGCCACAACUUCCUUUCCCAGGAAACAGUCUCUAUGCCCACUUAGCCCAUGCUUCUGGGCUUUGAUCACCAUGGGAGGAUCACAGGACUUCAAGAAUUUCUGUAGACACCAACCCUUGUAGUUGGGUUCCUUGGAACAAAUUCCUGAGCCUCCAGGUCAGCCUCUUAAAGAUGGCUUAGCCGCUGGAUAAGGCAAGUGAAGAAUGGUAAGAAAGGAAGCACCACCAGUAGAAAAAGAAGUGGCAGAGGCCUGGAGCCACAGUCGUCACUUCUGGCCCCACAACCUUGCCUCAAGGCAGCUUUGUCUUAGAAUGGGACAUGAGACUGGCACUUGGUAACAGGCUGGUGACUGGCUUGGUCCAGUGGCCUGCUUUUGUUCUUUGAGGUCCUUCUGCCUCCCUCCACUGCCUGCCUUCCAAUUCCUCAAGAGGUUAGCAAAGUCAUUUGGGUUGGAGGGGACACAGGCAAGAGAUAUGACAUCCAAACAAACAAACAAACAAACAAACAAACAGGGUCUCAUGUAGCCCAGGCUAGUCUUGAAUGCAUAUAUAGCUAGGUCGAUAUUGAACUUCCAUUCUUCCUGCUUUUCCCUCCUGAUUGCCGGGGUUACAAGUGUGAGUCACCGUGUCUAAUUUAUUAAUACUGUCCUGGUCAUUGAACCUAGAGUCUUCUGCAUGCCAGGCAAGCACGCUACCAACCUGAGCUACAUCCUCAGCCCCAAAGAAUGUUCAUGUAUGUUUUUUGUGCACACAGAAGAACCAUUUCACAGAGAAAGGCUAUCAUCAGUCCUUUCUGCCUAUCCAGCUAGACACCAGUUUCUUCCAGGAAAAAGAAACAAAGAUAAAACAUGUAAAUUGAUCAGUCACAGAUGGACCUUGCUGAUCAACAUCACCUGCUUCUGGAGAAAGAUCCUUGUUUUAUUUGACUUUCAGGAAUGGGCAGAAAAGGCCACUGGAAAAAGAUUUGGUCUUUCUGCAUAUGGACAAAGGAUUCAUGGUUUUCUGAGGAGAGGACUAACAGAGAAGACUCCUGGCCUACUCUGGAUGGAUGUCCAGGAAUGGGCUGGGAAGAGGUUAGGGGUUGGUUCCUGUUGUGGCCCGGCAUGUCUCAGCCCCAAGCCACGGUAGCCAGGAGGUUCAGCCUGAGUGGGGGAGCAUGGACUUGGAAACUCUUAGCAACCUAAUGGCGAUAAAGACCAAACACAGGCAUCUUGUCAUCUUUAGAGAGCUCUCAGUUCCAUGCUGCAAAACUGGAGUCUGACAGCCUUCCACAACGAGACACUCAACUUUUACUGAGACACCUCCCUGAGAGGCCUUGAAGUAGACCACGCCCUCUUUGACUCUCAGUCACCCAGGGGAAGAUGGGAGCCACUUGGCAUUCAUCCAGACCCAGGAGUGAAUGGAGGAAACAUCUGGAGACCCUUCCUGUGUCCCUUGGAGAGACUGUGUAACAGUUGGCUCUAUUUGGGGCAUUUCAAGAUGUGUGGUGCAAGAGACACACCUCAGACUUCCAGAGGCAGAAGGCAAAGGUCAAGAGUCAGUAUUCUCUCUGAGGAGAUGCCAAUGGAUUCCAGUUCUGCCUGGUUUGUGACUAGAAGUGACCUUCGCUGCCUGGUACUGAAGGACACCAGGAGCCCAGCCUCCUGAAGCAGCAAGACCUUUUGCUCAUGGAAAGGCUGAGCCACCUUUUUUGCAGCCAGAAGACCCCAGGGCCACACCCAGGACAGUGUGAACCAUGCCACUAGAGCACUCCUCUGGGACCUAGGGUGGCAGUGGACUUUUGUUUCUCAACAUGGGAAGGAAACCCUUCUAUGGCUUUUGGACACCCACCCUCCUGGGCAUAUAUACACUCUCCCAAAAUGCCCAGAGGGUAUCAAAGACAGCUUGCUCUUUUUGGAAGAAGUAUUCGAAGUACUUGAAGGCUUGCACUCUGUUUAUUUGUUUAUGGAGACAGGAUCUUGUAUAGCCCAGGCUAGCCUGGAAUUCAUUAUGUAGUCCAAGAUGAUUGGGAAUUCUCUAUGCUCCUGCCUCUACCUCCCAUGCACCCGGCAUUUACCAUCCCAUCAAGUUGAGGACUUCUGUUCAUAAGUCCUGAUAAAAUUCAGGUCAAGAGUCCACGCCACUGCAGAGAAGGGUUUUCCAUCCCAUAGACCCUCAUAUCGGAAAGAGUCACUGGUAUCAGUGACCCCUAAUGGCAUGAUCAUCCACCCACUUCAGGAAAACACCCCAGAUUUCACGGAGGUGGUCAAGACCCCGAAAAAGGCAUCAUGAGAGCGGGAGGAAAGAGAGACGCCACACCACACUUCUACCCUCUCAUCUGAGGCCAGCGCCACCAGGGCCCUUCCCCGGGUUGCACUCUGCCUCUCUAAGCCACUUCCUGUUUCUGUUUCUAGGUUAUAAGUGCUAGAGUCAGUAUGAGUCACUCAGUCAGGAGGUCCAGAGUCCAAGGCUGCCUCUUGGGGAGGCAGGGGAGGCUGGGACUGGAAAGGCCAACACACCUGUCCCUUCCUAAGAAAACACACGUACUGUCUUUAGGAAUGCUGAUGCUAUCAGCAGCUUGGGAAAUCUGCUUGUCUGGUUUGUGAUUUCUCUGCUGAUCUCACUCCAGGCCAUUAGUUCUCAGAGGCCCUUGGACAAACACACUUUUGAAGACUUUUUACCCACCUCUCUGGAAACCUUGCUUUGCAAGGGGCUGGCCCUAGCUAGUCAUCAGGCAACCAACCUCUGGGAGUCCGGUAAAGUUGUGGACGAGAGGUUAUUCAAAAGCCUUGUUUCCAAGUAACUAAGUUUCCAAACAAAGAGGAAACUGCAACUCAGACAUGAGGCAGCAUUCAGCAACCUGGGUUCACAUGAAGACAGGCAGGACUAGAUCUUGCACAGUUAUGUCGGCUUCCAUUACAGUUUCUAAGCACCUUGCUCUUGCUGGCUUUGCUAUAUGCUGGGGAAGGGUUGCGAUGCUGGAACAGUAACUGCCAUGGACAAGACAUUGGGAGAUUUGGUCGAAGCCAGUGUGCCAAAUCAACACUGGGAUGCUAUUGUUGCCUUCUAGUUCUAGUCCCUGGUGUCUGCCCCCACCCCCUGCACCAUAUGAAACUGUCUUUUAUGCUAGGACGCACCAGUGACCUUGUAUUCAGAGGUGAUGCUUGGGCAGGGAUCCAGGAAAAGGUAGCUCAUUUUGUAGACAACACCUUUUUCUGAGGGAAGGAUGGGGCGGCAGGGGGUGGAUGUGUGGAAGGAUGGGGGAAUGGGGGAGGGGAAACAGAAAGAUCCAGAAGUUCAAGCCCCCUUGGGAUGCAGUAAUGGAGUAGAUGUUCUGAAAGGAGUCAGGCAUGGAGAGUCCCGUUCUCUAAUGAUAGCCUCUCCAAAGUCAGAAACAGGCACAUUAGUCUGUCUGAGCCAUGACUUUCCACGGGAAUCUACAGAAAAAAGACAUACAAACAAGCAACAACCUCUUAAUUAUUGAAGAUGUGGAGAAAAGAAUUCUCAGAACCGUUAAAUACUCAUGGUAAGCCAUACAGACUUAGGGAGUGUUUGUUUUAACAUUUAGCUUACCCCAGCGGAUGCAGGACAAAGUCCUUAAAAAGGUCACAGGUUUCACCCAUUAGUUGGAAUAUAUCCAGAAAAUGAUGACAGUUACUGCUGUAUAAUAGUAACAAAACACCCACUCCUUAUAGACAAUACUAUUCUCCAGUAAUAGAUUUUUAUUACUACUGAAUGGUUUAUUCAGUAAGUAAAUUACAAUACAACUCUGUAAAGAAAUAUUAAGUUAGACAUUUAAUAUCAUUGAUAAUAUGUUUACUAAUGUUAAAAAAAAAAAACAACUUCAUGACGCAGAGGUACUUGAAGAAGAGGAACAAACAUGGAAGGUGUUUUAGUCACUCUUCUGUUGCUGUGAUGAAACACCAACCAAUCACAACUUGGGGGAGGAAAGAGCUUCUUGGCUUACACUUGCAUGCCAGUCCAUCACUGAGGAAAACUUGGGGCUGGGGCUCAAGGCAGGAUGGCUGAUUCCUGGCUUGUUCCCCAACUUCCAGAUCAGACUUGCUGCCUCUGUUUUUAUUGUGGGCAAGCAAUGCCCCUCUGGGCUCAAUUCCACCAUCAUAAGCUAAAUGCCUGCUGCUCUAUGGUCUCAGCUAGGAGCCACCCUUCUGUCCCUCUUGCUUAUGGCUCACAGUGCUCUGGCUUCCAGGCAGGAAGUGCUUCUUCGCCACAGUGGUUUCCAGAGGUUUUUUUUUUUUUUUUUUUUUUUUUUUUUUUUUUUUUUUUUUUUUUGAGAGUUGUUAGAUCUCAGGACUCUCUUCUUGUGGGGGUCCUAAUUUGGGUGAUUUUGGCAAGCUCUUGCCACAGGUCCUUCCAUCCCUCCAAGACAGCUGAGGGCAAAGCCCUUGUCUCCACCACACAGCCUAACUCUAGGUCUCCAAGCCGAAAUCAGCAGUGUGCUAAUAAGACAAACAGAGAGCCAGAGAGCCUGAAGCCCUGAUCUGCAGCACUGGAGUCUCUAUAGUUCACUCCAAGUUCACUUUCAACGGUGCUUUGGUUUUUUGUUUUGUUUUCCUUCCAAACACAAUGUGGAGACAAAAUUAAAUUGAAAUUCCAUUUUCCCCCUCCCUAUUCACUCCCUACCCUUCUUAUCAUCCUUUUGCGGGGGGAGGCAGGGGAGACAAGGCACAGAGGUUUUCUGUCAAAGAAGUUUCUUUCCUGUUCUACGAGGAGACCAGAAAGCAGUACAAACCAUCCAUAGGUUUGUGUGGAGUGUGGCAGAACUAUUUUAAUCACACUUACUGUGUUUUCAGCAAACCACACGCUCCCAAAUUAAAAAACAAAACAAAAACAAAAACCUGCAAGUAAAAAAGGCUCAUUUUCCAAGAGACUUCUGGAAAGCCACACUAGCCAGAGGGACCCCCUCUGCAGCAAAUGAGACACUAAACCAGGCUUAGUUUAAGCGCUGAGCCCUCUGAGAGAGACUCCAUGAAAACCUUCUCCUCUCCUAUGAAAUGGUGUCUGCAGGUGCAGCCAGCCUCAGUACCCAGGAAGGCUCUUCGGGACAGACUAGCCCAUAUCAGCCUUUGCUGUUUCCUUUCUUAAUGGAGAUGGUGUAUCUUACCAGCUUCCCAUUCAAACAUACAGCAUGAGACGGGCGGGAUGACUCAGUGGAUAAGAGUGCUUGCUGCCAAGCCCGAUGACCUGUGUUCUACACAGCGAAAGGAGAAAACUAACUCUCCGGAUUUGUUCUCUGACCUCCACACAACACACAGAGAGAAAUAAAUGUAAUAAAAAACUUAAAAUAUAUGCAGUUCUUCCUUAUCUGCAGAGUAUCCAGUGGACAGGACCAAUUCUUUGUAUGUAAUGUGCUUUUGUCUUAUAUGAAAAUGCUAUGGGCUGGAGGAUAAGCCACUGCAUAGAGUGCUUGCGUAGCACACAAAAAGCCUUGGCUUUAAGUCCCAACACUGCAUAAAACUGAGAACAGCAACUCAAUGCCUAUAAGCCCUGAGGUCAAAGGUAGAGACAGGAGCAUCAGAAACUCAAGAUCAACCUUGGCUACUAUGUGAAUUCGAGGCCAGCCUGGAUUACAUGAGAUGAUGUCUCAAAGCCAACAUACACACACACACACACACACACACACACACACACACACACACACCUAUGAAUAGAUACUUAUGGUACAUUUAAUUUAUAAAUUGGGUGCUGUAAUAUAUUAGUUAAUAGUAAAAUAAAGCAAUCAAUUGAUCUUGCUGUGACAGUCCAUAAAGGAAAGUACAGUCUUGGCAUUGUCCUAUGAACAAUUUUUGAUUGUAUCUAACCUCAAUAGCUGAAACCACAGAAAGAGAAUCCUAGUCUGCAGGGUGCCAGGUAUAAUCCAAGUGAUAUGGGCUCUAUGCAUGGACACAUUCCAGAUUUGUGUCAAAGCUAAACUGAGAAUGGCUUGUUCUCAAGAUCCCAGCUCCUGGAAGAUUUCUCUUCUGUUAAGUGUGUGGGGGACAGAGGGUAUUAGAGAAUGAAAUACAUAGGCUUUGCAAUAGGAGUGCUAUGUGUCUUUGAGAGAGUUACUUGCUUACUCUGAGUCUCAUCUUCCUCUGAGCCUGGUUCCUUAUUUGUAAAAUAGUCUCAAGAGUCAUGGUGAGAAUUAAGUAAGAAAGUUCACACACACACACACACACACACACACACACACACACACACACACGAAAGCACACAUGCACCACCCUCAAAGACAGUAUUCCAGGGUGUGGAAGCAGUCCCCAGCCCUGAAACGCUUGUGAGGAAAGACUCUCCUGUCUUUUCCCCUUGACUCUGGUAUCUUAAGCUGCUUGGCCAAUGGACCUUGGGUAAGAGACCCAAGGUUCCCUACUCCAGCCUCAAGAAAUUGUCGGUGUCUAGGUCCUGCCCUGUUCCUAGAACCAGACACCAUGCCACUAGGGGACCAUUGACACAGAGGGCUGGAGAGUUCAAGUCAACCAUAGAGACAUAAAGACAGAGAGCCUUUCAACAUGUCUUCAGCAGCAGCCACCACCUGACUGAGGUAAAAGAGGGCAGAAGUGAUGUAAGUACAGUACAAAAAUAAAUAAAUAAGGAUCUCAAAGCAAUGGAGUGUUAAUCCAUAGCAGCUGGGCUGUGAGUGGCUGUAUGAGCCUUAUAUCCACAAAGUUGGCCCUAGGUCACACAGCCUGACCUU
ensembl:lncRNA